rnacentral:rRNA from 1 species
AUUGAACGCUGGCGGCAGGCCUAACACAUGCAAGUCGAGCGGAUGAAGGGAGCUUGCUCCUGGAUUCAGCGGCGGACGGGUGAGUAAUGCCUAGGAAUCUGCCUGGUAGUGGGGGAUAACGUCCGGAAACGGGCGCUAAUACCGCAUACGUCCUGAGGGAGAAAGUGGGGGAUCUUCGGACCUCACGCUAUCAGAUGAGCCUAGGUCGGAUUAGCUAGUUGGUGGGGUAAAGGCCUACCAAGGCGACGAUCCGUAACUGGUCUGAGAGGAUGAUCAGUCACACUGGAACUGAGACACGGUCCAGACUCCUACGGGAGGCGGCAGUGGGGAAUAUUGGACAAUGGGCGAAAGCCUGAUCCAGCCAUGCCGCGUGUGUGAAGAAGGUCUUCGGAUUGUAAAGCACUUUAAGUUGGGAGGAAGGGCAGUAAGUUAAUACCUUGUUGUUUUGACGUUACCAACAGAAUAAGCACCGGCUAACUUCGUG